ensembl:lncRNA
UUUUAUUGUUUCCUCAACUAAGGCCCAGCAAAGAGCUGCAGAGCACAGCGCAGACAUUGAGGUGAAUGAGCUCUGGUGGAUGAAAGCUCUGCUGGAAGCAAGCUGCCUUGAACAGUGAUUACUACAAUGAUCCAUCUCAGCACAUCCUUCUAAUUUGUGCUAUCAGGAUUUUCUCCAUUAUCGUGGGCAUCCGAGCUCUACAUUCCAGGUAAAGCUGGCAGAGGUAAUGAUGGAGGAUGUCACAGCACCCCAGAUGGAAGCUGCAGGGAUUCAUCGCUUUGUGCAAAAUAGCAAAGGAGUCCUACACAAACCAGCAUGUAAGAAAUAAUAGCUCAAACAUGGAAAAAAAAAAAAAAAAAGCCAGGGAAAAUUCCUUCAAUCUUGCCUGGGAAUUUAUUUAAAGCAUCUGCAGAUGGCUUGAAGCAGGUGCUGCAGCUGCUUUUAGUAUGGUGCUCUCCUGGAAGUGGAACAGAUUGUACUUUGUUGUGAGCCCCAAGUUCCCACAGUCACAAGUGGAAAACCUGGAAUGUGCUGUUGAAGGAGAAGGAAAUAGUGAGAGUGCAAGAUUGGCUCCUCCACCUUCAGAAAGAAGCAGUUGUUGCUUCCAGAAGCAUCCUGCUUUUCUUUUAGGGUUCUCAAGCUUCAAGAAGAACAAAAAUAGAGGUAUACUAUCACUUGAGGAAUUAGAAAUGAGGAAUAAAGUGGAGUGAUAGAAUACUGAAGAAAUCUACUAGAAAAAUUCCGUUAGCAAGUCAGUCAUUAAAAUGUGGCUCCACACACUUCCAUUUCAAGAGUUUCUCAUUAUAUGUGUUACAUACUGUCUUGUUCAGACAAUGCUACAUGUAAUGUGCUGUGCCUUUAAUCUUUAAAAUGAAGUUAUUUUCCCAUGAAGAUCCCAGGAAUCUCUCCAAGGUUACAUUUGAAAACAUAAUUCCAGCUUCUGAGUCGGCUGUAAACAUUAUCUAGGUAGCAUUUUUGUUUUUUUUAAAAAAAUCAUAUAUAUAUAUGCUUGAGUGUGAUUCCUGUAUCAGAUUUGAUGGCCUGAUGCUUGUGCUUAGUUUUCACAAGUUUGUUAGUUCAGAAUGGUAUCUGUCCAACUUGACUGCAUUUGUACAGUGAGAGAACAUACCGAAAUAUGGCAUAUGAUACUAUAUCUGGAGGUAUUUGCUGUGUUGAAAUCCUUUGUUUAUAUAGCACAAAAGAAGUAUAAUGUACAAGAAAAAGCUCAAUUUCUAAUAUUGCUUUACUUCUCAGUACCUGCUACAUAGAAUUCAGUAGUCUCUUAUGCUGAUUUCUUUGCUGUUAUUCAAAUAAGUUUUGUAAUUG